CCUCUUCGUGGGACUCGCCGCUACCGGAGCCCGGACCGUCCACCACUCCGCCGUCGCUUAACUCCGACGACACGAAUCAUGUCGAACCCAAAGUCAGCAGCUUUCCAUUUCUGUCUCUCUUGAAGCUAGAAGUUCCCGAUUCAUUUUGCUUCUCCUCAACAUCAAGUCCUCAAUCCUCACUAGCGGCGCCAUCUUGUCUUCUUAUUUCUUUUUUUUUUUCGACUUCGGAGUUCGGAGAUUGAAGAAGACUCGGUGUAAGGGUUUACGAUCAUCUUCAUCAACUCAGAAAUUGUCCAUUUGAGUAAUUUGGAGCGUGCUUUAGCAAGGGAGGAAGAAGUUAAGAAGAGGCUCUAAGGUUGUGACCUGUGUUUACUGUGUUUCGAUUGAAAGAUUAGCUUGGAAUAGACUUGCAGAUUUGGGCUAGACGUUGGUGUUUAUAGCCGGAUUAGAUACGUACUUUCUAGAUAAGGUACUCUGCAUUUGUUUUGGCUGAGUAGUGAGUAGUUCUAGAUUUGAGAUUGUUGAAAAUGAAGAGGCAAAUGGAGAAAUCUAAGUCAUGUGGUACAAGUUCAACCUCAGCCCCGGAACAUAAAUCGUCUUCAUCAUCUCAGAUCAACACUAGUGUUGGUGAAUCGACAACACCAAUACCAGUUGACGAAAGAAGUAAUGCUGCAAAUUCGGAGGAAGAAAGAGGAAGUCAAGCAACCAAGCUUGAAGAUGAUGGAAGUGUGGAAAGCAUCCUUGAGGCGUUGAAACGGAAAGAAAGGUCAGAUAUUUGGAAUCAUUUUGAGAGGGAUGUGGCAUGGUGGAUGGUAGAAUUAAGGGUAAAUGUAAUUAUUGCGGAAAAGAGUACUAUGCCGAUCUUAGGAAGAAUGGUACAAUUAACCUCCCUUAUAAAUCAUAUGGACAAGUGUCCAAAGUAUCCCCCUAAUAUUGAGAAGUUGAAAGCUAAAAGGCAAAAUAUUUUCUCUUUUAAAAAACCAACUACGGAGUUGUGUACUGUAGAAUGCACUCAAGAAGAGC